UUUACUACUGCCCUCAUAUAAUUAAUUAUAAAAUAAGUUCAUUUUAAGCAACGUUCCAAUAGACAUUCAUUACACGUGUUAUUUGUAAGUAUAACUUCCAGUGAAAGCAGUGCCUGUCUCCAGCUUUCCUCUGCCCUAGUGGCUCGGACUUUUGAAACAUCAUUUUUUGAAACUCAUGUAUUGAUAUACGGCCAGCAAGUUACCCGGCUCUUUUACAUUAACAGGUAAUCUUUCUCCUUGCUCUUUUACAUUAACAGGCAGUGUUUGUCCUUUGGGGAUAACAAUGUAACUCUCUCUCCGACGUGUUUCAGGAGAGGAGACUCGUACAACUCAUAUUAUAGACUGCCCAUAUGUAAUGGCUCAGUAUGUGUUGGGAGCCGAAACAAUGGCGGCAAUUACAAAUGAAUCGCCAAAUAAACCAUGUCAAUAAGAACAGGGCCUCUGCUCAGUCUCACGGCACAAAGCGUCACAACACAAGCGCUAAAGAUGUUAUUAUAGUUUUAUUGGUAAGUACAAGCAGAACAAUAAAAGGAUACGAUGGGCUGCACCAUCACUUUCUGCACUUUCUGGCCUCCUUGCCCGCGGUACGCCAUCUCUGCUGCCUCGUUAGUUGCUAGUUCCCAGUAGCUAAGACGCCGUGGGUGACGUCACGAACGUCUCCGUCACGUGACCUUCGGCGCCUUCGUCAAAUGGCGGUCACGCGGGGAUUGGCUGGAGCCGUACGCUACUACAGUGCUCCACUUAGUAGUUGUUUACGCUGACUAGCUUUAGGAUUUUUCUUUGGGGCAGGAUUUUAUUCAGUCUUCCCUUGCGGCUGCGAACCUGUUACAUACUUGCUGGUCUGUGUAAGGCAUAUCGAGUCAUCAAAAUUUCCUCGCCAUAGUAUAUCAAGGACCCCAGUGUUCACGGUUUAACCCUGACCGGCGGUGUUGCUACGUCUGUUUAUGGAUUCUCUGGCGCUUGGAGAUGACGUCUACAGCCUUCACCUGAUGCGUUUCGUCGAUAUACGACUUCCUCAGAGGCUCAAAUUCUAAAUGCCUAGAUGACAUCGGCAACCAGCACCUCCCACCAAUGCACGCCCAGUCCUUCUGAGUGGCUGCUGCUCAGUGAAAGUGAAAAAAAGAGAUGGCCGACGGCUGCCCUGGAUUACUGUAGCUGUAACAGGACAGGAAAUCAGGAGAAAGGGAGAAGCGUGAUAAGAAAUGCUAAGAUAACAAAUAAAGUGGACCCAAAAGGGAGGGGAUCUCUCACAUCUUUGCCUGUGUGAUGUGAUGAAAGCCCAAGGAGGAAGUUCUGGACCGAAGAGCUACUGCACAUUCAUUCCUUUCCUCUCCUGCUUCAUUUGCAUGUCUUCGACCCAACUGGCUGGCAAGAUUUUACAUAAGAGAAUUAAUUUAAUUUAUGUUCCAGAAUAUGACUUUGAUUUUAUCAUUAUAAACAAUUGAAAUGUACUAUGCCACAAAAGAGAUCAUAUUCAGUUUAUCUAUCCAUAGAAAAAAAUAUAUAUGUAAAUGUCAGCACAAAAGAAACCAAAAAUAAACAUUAAGAAACAUGUUCUGCAUUCUCUAAUGAACCAGUGUGGCAGAAGAUUUAGGGGUAGAUUUAUUAAAAUGUGAGAUCAGAGCUCACCACAAAAAAAAAACACUUUGAUUUUUAAGAAGCAUAUUUAUCAAUGAAAGUUACAGUUCACCAUUUGAUAAAUACACUUAUAGGAAUGACUAGAAAGGGGAUGAGAUUUUUUGUGGUGAGCUCUGAUGUCACAUUAAGGGGCCUAUCUAUUAUGCUGUGUAAAUGGAGUCUUGUCAAAAAAGGUGAUAAGGGUGAAGACACGCAGAGCUACUAGUAGCAGCUACUUGUCACAUCUACAAAAUAGACAAUAGUGAUUAUUGGUUAGCUAAGACACUACAUGUGUUUUAGCAGAAGCAAGUCUUAGUAUUGUCUAUGGCAGGAUCAUUUUUUGGCUUUUUGUAGCUGCUACUAGUGGCCCUGUGUGUUUUCACCCUAAACAUUGUGUAAAAUAAACAGCAAAUUCCUCAACGUUUGUGCGCCUUCCAAAUUCCACAUUUGGCGGCAUUAGAAAAGUAGAAUGCAUGAUAAGUGCACCUUUUUCCUUUUGAUGUGUGGUGAAUUUGAAUGUUGUUUCUUUGCUGUAUUUUUACACAUCGGUAAAUAUUCCCCGUAGUGUCAGUCAAUCCUUCCAAGUGUCCAUUGCUAAUUGAUGUGAAAGGGAUAUGCUCUUAGUCAGAGAGGAUCUGGAUAAUUGGCUAUAGACAUUUUUCAUUGUCCUUAUAUUUGAUAAGGCUGAGAACUCUGCUCCCUGAAUAUCGCAUAAUCAUCUUUUAGCUUAGGUAGGGAGUCAUCAGUUACCAGAGAGAGAGUCUGAUAGUACUAAAGCAAGCAAGUCUUUAUAAAGUUCAAGAAUGCCAUUGAAACAUAGAUUUUAUCUUCUGGACCUGUUUUCCCAAUACUUAGCUUUUCUUGCUAACUGUUUAAACUUUUUUUCCUAGAUACAACAAUUUAUUUUUUGUGGAGGAAGAGUUAUCUUCUAUGAAAGGAAUGCUGUCUUCCAUCUCUAAAACAGUCAUUUUGGAGUACACAAGCCUGGCCCACAAAAGUUUUGGAAGGUCGAAGAGGCUAGAACAUUACCGGGUGGAUGGAGCCAGGGCAUACCUAAUAAUGCACAGCUAAGACUUCAUGACAGAACAGUUAGAUGAAUACAGGUAACAUCACAACCAACACGCUACACAUGUUCAAACAACAUAUGAGACAGAUAGUUUGGAAUGUAGGUUGGUUGACCUCACCAAUCAAAAGAAAAAGAUAUUAACAAAUCUCAAGAAACUAAAACCCAAUAGAAUAUUAUUUUUAAAGACCCUCUGGAAAUUAGGAGAUACCAGUGUACUUAAAGCGGCAUGGAUACGUGAAUUCCUAUCAGCACUAUAUAAAGCCAAACAAAGGGGAGCAGCCAGUCUUAUUUGCACAUCUCUGCCAAACAAAUUGGAUGACCCGAUAUAUAUAUACUGUAAGUCACUAUUUAAUAUUGUGUAAAUCAGAUAUCAGACAAAAAAAGACAUGGUAGCCAACAUAUACAGUGGUGUGAAAAACUAUUUGCCC